rnacentral:rRNA from 1 species
GACGAACGCUGGCGGCGUGCUUAACACAUGCAAGUCGAACGGUAAGGCCCUUCGGGGUACACGAGUGGCGAACGGGUGAGUAACACGUGGGCGAUCUGCCCUGCACUUCGGGAUAAGCCUGGGAAACUGGGUCUAAUACCGGAUAGGACCACUGCCUGCAUGGGUGGGGGUGGAAAGCUUUUGCGGUGUGGGAUGGGCCCGCGGCCUAUCAGCUUGUUGGUGGGGUGAUGGCCUACCAAGGCGACGACGGGUAGCCGGCCUGAGAGGGUGACCGGCCACACUGGGACUGAGAUACGGCCCAGAAUCCUACGGGGGGCAGCAGUGGGGAAUAUUGCACAAUGGGCGCAAGCCUGAUGCAGCGACGCCGCGUGAGGGAUGACGGCCUUCGGGUUGUAAACCUCUUUCAGCACCGACGAAGCGCAAGUGACGGUAGGUGCAGAAGAAGGACCGGCCAACUACGUGCCAGCAGCCGCCGUAA